UACAGAGGGGGCAAGCGUUAUUCGGAAUUAUUGGGCGUAAAGGGCGCGUAGGCGGCCUGGUAAGUGGAAGGUGAAAUCCCUCGGCUUAACCGAGGAACUGCCUUCCAGACUGCUUGGCUUGAGACCGGGAGAGGUGAGUGGAAUUCCCAGUGUAGCGGUGAAAUGCGUAGAUAUUGGGAGGAACACCAGUGGCGAAGGCGGUUCACUGGACCGGUACUGACGCUGAUGCGCGAAAGCGUGGGGAGCAAACAGG
rnacentral:rRNA from 1 species